AAGGAACAUUUGUAUUGGAUAAAAAGAGAGUUAACACAUCAUCAACAUGUAAAUGUAGAUUUAAGCACAUAAAUCUCAGAGGAAACUUGAAUCUUGUCUGGAUGUUACAGGGACAGAUGAUCACACGUGUGUUUAUCCGGUGAUGAAGGAAUGCUGCCAUCAAAGGCUUUGAAGCUUUGUGGUGAAGCAGGACCUACAAGACAAGGUGACUGCAGCAAAAAAGGAAAACCUGAAACAAAAAUAUAAAGAUGUGAAAUGUCCUCAGACUGGUGUGAGCACUGAGGAUGGAGAGCCACAGCAGGUCCUGGAAAUGGUGUAGAGCCAUGGACGAGACGCUCCAUCACUCCUCAAGUCAAGUCA